GUUCGUCCUGAAACUCAUCCACAUGCCCCGGCUAAACCCUGUGGAUCCGAGGUCUGCAAUCAGACUUCCCAAUGUUUGGAGAAGGGAUGUGGGAAGUGCUGUGCGCAAGCACCAUCGUUCUGCGAACUCCACAUCGCCUCCGAAACCGGGAACCUGUCAAAGUUGAAACUCAUCUUGUCCCAGGGACGGGCGGAC